GGGUAGUAAUGAUGUCUUUAAACCUAAAGAAUUNGGCGGUACUUCAUUCUUACUAGAGGAACCUGCUCUUGUAUCGAUACCCCACGAUUAAAUUUACAUAUUUUUGUUUUCAGUUUGUAUACCGCCGUUGUCAGAUUAUUUUUAAAGAAUAUUAUCUAGUUAGUUUAUUACUGGGACAUCAGGUCAAGGUGCAGCCAAUAAAUAUGGGAGUAGUGGGUUACAAUAAAAUUAAAUUAUUACGGCCUGACAAUUGUAUAGUUGUUAUUAAGGUGGAUUUAGUAGUAAAUUAAAAAUAAAAUGUUUAUAUGAAAUAAGCUCUGAAGUGUGU
rnacentral:rRNA from 1 species